UCUUUGUGCUUUUCAAAUGUUUGC
rnacentral:piRNA from 1 species